UGGGGAAUAUUGCACAAUGGAGGGAACUCUGAUGCAGCGACGCCGCGUGAGUGAUGAAGGACUUCGUUUCGUAAAACUCUGUUCUAUGGGAAGAAAAGGACUGUACCAUCGGAGAAAGCUCCGGCUAAAUACGUGCCAGCAGCCGCGGUAAUACGUAUGGAGCGAGCGUUGUUCGGAAUUAUUGGGCGUAAAGGGUACGCAGGCGGCUUUACAAGUUGGAUGUGAAAUAUUGUGGCUCAACCACAGACGUGCAUUCAAAACUGCAAAGCUUGAGUUAAAGAGAGGUAAGUGGAAUUCCUGGUGUAGCGGUGGAAUGCGUAGAUAUCCGGAGGAAUACCGGUGGCGAAGGCGACUUACUGGACUUAAACUGACGCUCAGGCACGAAAGCGUGGGGAGCAAACAGG
rnacentral:rRNA from 1 species